GAUGAACGCUGGCGGCGUGCCUAAUACAUGCAAGUCGAACGCUGGAGAUCUAGCUUGCUAGAUCGAAGGAGUGGCGAACGGGUGAGUAAUACAUAAGCAACCUACCCACGAAGACUGGGAUAAUCUCUGGAAACGGGGACUAAUACCGGAUAGGUAAUCGGAAGGCAUCUUCUGGUUAUUCAAGGUUAAAAACACUGGUGGAUGGGCUUAUGGCGCAUUAGUUAGUUGGUGAGGUAACGGCCCACCAAGACGAUGAUGCGUAGCCGGCCUGAGAGGGUGAACGGCCACAUUGGGACUGAGACACGGCCCAGACUCCUACGGGAGGCAGCAGUAGGGAAUUUUCGGCAAUGGGGGCAACCCUGACCGAGCAACGCCGCGUGAGUGAAGACGGCCUUCGGGUUGUAAAGCUCUGUUGUAAGGGAAGAACGGUAGAUAGAGAAUAUCUAAGUGAGCGUACCUACCAGAAGCCAC
rnacentral:rRNA from 1 species